CAGUAGCGUAUAUUAAAGUUGUUGCAGUUAAAAUGCUCGUAGUUGAAGUUCGGAUGCAGCAGAGCUUGGAAACGCUGUUAUGGUGCUUCCGUUGCUUUUGCUUGUCCACAGUGCGUUGCAAGUACGUAUGUGCUUGUGCGUGCAUUUUACUUUGAGAAACAUAGGGUGUUCCACGCAUGUUACGGCAUGAAUAUUCCAGCAUGGGAUAAUCUGGUACGACUUCCAAUCUGCCAUUUUGGUUCGUAGGUUGGAAGUAAUGAUUAAUAGGGACUGUCGGGGGCAUUGGUAUUUGACUGUCAGAGGUGAAAUUCUUAGAUUCGUUGAGGACCAACCACUGCGAAAGCAUUUACCAAGGAUGUUUUCAUUAA
rnacentral:rRNA from 1 species